rnacentral:rRNA from 1 species
AUUGAACGCUGGCGGCAUGCCUAACACAUGCAAGUCGAACGGUAACAGGAAGAAGUUUGCUUCUUUGCGGACGAGUGGCGGACGGGUGUGUCAUGUCUGUGAAACUGCUUGAUGGCGGGGGUUAACUACUGGAAACGGUACCAAUUACGGCAUAUCGUCGCAAGCGCAUAGUUGAGUACCUUCGGGCCUCUUGCCAUCGACUGUGCCCUGAUGGGAUUAGCUAGUAGGUGGGGUAACGGCUUACCUAGGCGACGAUCCGUAGCUGGUCUGAGAGGAUGACCAGCCACACUGGAACUGAGACACGGUCCAGACUCCUACGGGAGGCAGCAGUGGGGAAUAUUGCACAAUGGGCGAAAGCCUGAUGCAGCAAUGCCGCGUGUAUGAAGAAGGUCUUCGGGUUGUAAAGCACUUUCAGCGGGGAGGAAGGAAGUUAUGUUAAUAUCUGUGCUCAUUGACGUUACCCGAAGAGGAAGCCCCGGCUAACUACGUG